ensembl:lncRNA
GAGGAGGUCGAACCUGGGUUGAGUUUUACUAUUUAGCUCACCUGCGCAGCUCGCACGCCAUGUGGUUUCCUUAAUUGGUUCAUUGGUUGCAUCUGGUGCAUUUCACAUAAGAGGGGAACGGACAAUACAUUUGUGUCCUCCACUGUUUGGCAGUUUAUCGUCUCCCAAACACGGGUAAAGACUUUUUGAAGUAAAGAGGAGCAUCUCAUCUGGACCUGAUGUCUAUCAUGGAUAUUUAACUGCAGUACUGUGAGUAUCCCAACUUUAACAUGAAGAUGAACUGCGAACUGUAAGUCAUUAGUUUCUCAUUACUCUUGGGCACAUUGAUGUAUGUUGGCUUCCAGUGGGGUGUUCCACAAAGCCGGUUUUAUCACAUAACCGGGUAAGUUAACCCAGGGUUUGCUGUAACCCUAGGUUUUCCGUUCCAAAAGGAUCACGGUAUGUUAGUUGCUAUAGCAACAUAUGCUCUGAAUCAAACCUGGUCGGACCAGGUUUUGCGCAGGUUAAGUUUGAAACAUAACCCGGUUUUGGGUAUUUCAACCGGCGUUCACCGCAGAUUUCAUGUGUUCACAAUGGCAUGCCCUUUUGAUGAGAGAACUGCUGAUAUCAGAGCGCAAAUUAUACGUGCAAUCCACCGGGAGCGAUUGAUAAGACCACGGCUCGACAUCUUGGCAUAUUGGAUGACUUUUUGCUGGAGUGGAGAGAUAGAUUCUCGCGCAAAUCUUUAAUAUAUUUAAAUAGCCUUACAUAGCCAACACUACCAAUCGAGGACCUGGCCUCAGUUCACUCCAGACUAUUUGCCUAGUCCUCCGUUUUUUUCAAAUGGUAGUUUUAUCUAGGCUAUAAUGCUAGAGAUGCUGAGCACAUCACAGUCGUUUCAGAUGACCCAUCCAAGAUUUGUAUCGGCCUCCUAUCAUACAAAGAGCAAUAUUGUCUGAGUACUAUGCCGAGAGGCAUUUACAACUUAAAGUAUAAAAUUGUCCUAACGGACUUGCAUCCACUGGAGAAUGUUCGAUCGUAGCCAAGCGGCUUCAUUACAAGCACUGAUCCAUCUUGAUCUGUGAAGUUGAUGAAUUGUCACUUUUAGGUUUUCUACCCAGUUACCCAAAAAGAAACAUUUGAAUAGUAUGCGCUGUGGCAAGCACACGGUUUGCAUGUGUUACUUCGAAGGCAAAAAAAAUCUAAAAUACAAGAAAACACAAAAACCUACAUUCAACCAGUGUGGGGUAUGGCCCAUGACUCUCUGAGGUGGUACCUCCAGGUACCCCCUCCAUGCCAGGGCGCCCUGAAUUUAUGUUUAUUAACAGAUCCAGUCUGCCGACUGUCGGCCUUUUCACGAUUGGCUUAAAAAAAUGGCUUAUUUAAAUUUAUACCAAUACGAUACAGUGGGAAAAGCUUACCAGUUUGUAUGUUUUUUAUACUUCAUUUUUAUACUUGAUCCUCUGACCGCUUGGAAGCAAUCAGAGUAGGCCUACAUAUUGUUUUAGAAGAAAGGGGUUAUGUGGUAGCAUCUUUAAGAAUGCUUAACUGGGAUAUUUAUAUAUUCAUGGCUCAAAUAUUAAGGAUCAUGCUUUUGAAGUGUAACUAACGCAUUUACGCGGUCAGCGAUCCGCUGCCAGGCUUUGGUUCUCCGGGUUCCAGAGGUUUUAGUGUUCCCUUUUCUUGUGAUAAUGUCCUUCUCCUCGUCAUAGCUCUCCAGGAGAACCUGGAGUUCCAUUUCAUUGAAAUAAGCGGCCCGUUUCGCCAUAUCGAUCAGGGUUUCCAUGAUCCAUACAUCACGUCUUUUUAAGUUUGGCGUGGACGCGCACAACCCUGUGUUAACCAACCCCGAGUUGAUUGAACUAAUGCAUAACCGCUGCUGUGGAACCGAAAACUCUGGGUUGGUCGGCACAGGGUCAAUCAACCUAGAGUUCAGCGUUAACUCAGUGUUUGUUAAACCUCCAUUCGUGGAACACCCCUCUGGUGAGUUAACCCGUUAGCUGAAGGUUGAUCUGAUUAGUAAGGAUCUUUUAUUGGUUCAUGGUUUACUUAGGCGUUUGGUUUAUGUUGGUUUUAAUGGUUUGUUAAAAUGGUUUCAGGUUCUAAGUUAUUGUUGUAAGCUGGAGUAAUGAGUUGGGUUCUGAGGUCUUCAGUCUUCUUUCCAGCUACUCUCCUGAGCUCUGCAUCUUCAUUACAUGAGUGUUGCUUUAAUGAGGAGGGUGUGGUCUGAGUGAGCAGAGGUGCAUACUGGGAUACAGAGCUGUCUGAAGUCUACAGGUCUGUAGACACGCCCCCUCAGGGGAAACCGAGUGUUUGAGAAACCGUCGUGACGUCAGUUACAUGGACUGGAAUGUUUUUUAAGAUGGAGACAGGGAUGCAGAAGGAGAAAAACCAGGGGGAGAUGAGGGGGCUCCUCAUCUCAACAACUUCAACACAACUUCAGUCUGACACAGAACCAUGGAACACGUUCAACAGUCCCCUCCAGGCAUCGUGACUCCUCAGGAACAGUUUCAUUCCAGAGAAGGUCUCAUUUGGGGCCAUUCCAAGAUGGAUCCUGCUCCUCAAGAGCCACCCCCCUCCACUGGGUGGUCUUCUGAACAAAUGAUCUCCUUCCUGUCCUCAGGCUGACUAAAGCUGCACCGUUUGCAUCUGUGAAGGCCCCUCAAUCACUAAACCACUGGACUACAAACACAUGACUUCAGAGAUGUUGAAACAGCGUGAAUGGAGACGCCAAGCAUAAUCCAUCACCAAUGUGGGACGCCACUGAAGAAUGUUGUACAUAAUUUACGUCUCUGGAGAUAUUGGUGGUUCUGUUCUGGGUGCCCUGACAGAAGAGCUGGGGGUGGAUGAUGGAAUGGUAUUUGGCAUGAUUUUUUUAGCCUGCAUGAGUGUUUGGUCUUUUAUGGCUCAGUGGUGUGUGUGGGUUUGACAUGAGAUGGAAGAUUUUUGAACAUCGCUAGGCUUCUAGGGGGGGUUGUGUGUGUGUGUGUGUGUGUGUGUGUCCCCCACUCACCCCCGGCCCGGGGUUCUACGUGUGGGUUCUGCGUCCUGCGUCCUGCUUGCUUUGACAUUGAUAAUUUUCUUACGGGGUUCUGUGUGAUUGGCUUGGUGUAUUGGAAUGGUCAAUUAAGUCAUACCUGCUGGACUGCCACACGUUUACUUGAGGCCUCCAGGAGACAUGAAGAGCCCUGAGCGACGCUCCGGAGCGAUAUCCUACACACUGGGCAGGAAGGAGAGUAUCCAACUCAAGUGUAAAAGGAUGCAAGCGGCGUGUUCAGAGCAGCGACUUCAAACUAGGACUACACCAAUCAGGAUCAAUGGAGGAUGGACACCUAAAGGCAUUCCACAAGGACUCUGAAGUUGGAAAGGGACCUCAAUGGAUGUUCAAGAUGACCUUCAGACCUGUAAUGAGGCGGAUCUUCCUACCUGGCUGGAUUGAUGGAGAGCCCUGUGGAUCUUGUCUUGCUCUCAGUUGCACGUCUUCUCAGGCUGAACUGUAUUUGCUGUACAGGACUAGCUCAACGAUCGGUUCCCUUAAAUCAGAACCAAUCUGGGAACUCCAACUAGUGCGCUCUUCAAGCUGAAGUUGUGCUCUUCAGCUGAGGAGGCAAGGAAACCUUCACUGGGGCUACAAUGUGUAUAGAGGCGAACGUUUCAAAGUGUUCCAUGGUAC